rnacentral:lncRNA from 1 species
GGGAAGCACCCAGGGCCAGUCAGGACAGGGAGGGGGUGAAGGGAAAGGGUGGGCAAGAGCCUUUAUUGCCAUUUUCCAGGCAAGGCAGAGGAGGCAAGCUGAGCAGAAUUAGAACUGGGUCAUUUCAGUGGGCUCUGGGCUUGGGGGUGGUAUCUAGCUAGCUGGUACCUGGCCUUGGGGUGAUUUAGGGCAGGGGGCUAGUGUUCAGGAAUGCAGGAGCCUGAUGAAAGGAGGCAGGUGGGACUCAUGAUGGUUGCUCUGCAUAUCAAAGGUAUGCUCAGCCUGCACGGUGGCUCAAGCCUGGGAUCUCAGUACUUUGGGAGGCUGGGGCCAAAGGAUCUCUUGAGCCCAGCAGUUUGAGACGACAGUGAGCUAUGAUCAUACCACUGCACUCCAGCCUGGGUGACAGAGUGAGACCCUGCCUCAAAAAAAAAAGAAAAAAAGAAAAAAUAAAGUAAAUAAGGCAUACUCAGAGGCAAGUGGUCAGCUGUCUCUAGGAAUUAGCUAACCCUGG